rnacentral:lncRNA from 12 species
AUGAUUUGUGCAAGUUGCAUGAAAACUUGCAUGAUUGGUGCAGGUUGUGUUGGUUUGGUGCAUAAAUGUGAGAAAUUAAACGUCAUGUUUUGUUGUAGGAGAACAGUCCACAACCUCAGGUGGAAUCGUCCAGUGAUCAUUCACCGUACACCUAUCAGCAGGCCAAGUGAUGAAGAGGGUUGCCGGGGUUAGAGAACGGAAGGAGACGACUGCUAAAUCAAUAACAGUUUCCUUUGAAGGACCGGCUCUACCGAUGAAUCCACUUUUUGCACAGGUUCUACGAUGAGUUCCUCGGUUUUUAUAAUAAAACUACUUCAACUAUUUUGGUAUAAGUUCCAUUAGGUGCAAAUCA